rnacentral:rRNA from 1 species
AUGUACAUACUUACAACAUAGUGUUAAUGCACCAGAUCCCAUUAGAACUUCGUAGUUAAGCACUCUUAGGAUAGAGUAGUACUCAGAUGGGUCACCUCCUCGGAAGUCCUAGUGUUUUACAUU